AGAGUUUGAUCCUGGCUCAGAAUGAACGCUGGCGGCGUGCCUAACACAUGCAAGUCGCACGAGAACGUUUCAGCUUGCUGAGACUAUUAAAGUGGCGCACGGGUGAGUAACGCGUGGGUAAUCUACCUCCGAAUUGGGGAUAACACUGCGAAAGCGGUGCUAAUACCGAAUGAUAUCCCCGAGACUCUGGUCUUGGUGAUCAAAGGUGGCCUCUACAUGUAAGCUAUUGUUUGGAGAUGAGCCCGCGUACCAUUAGCUUGUUGGUAGGGUAACGGCCUACCAAGGCUUCGAUGGUUAGCUGGUCUGAGAGGAUGAUCAGCCACACUGGAACUGACACACGGUCCAGACUCCUACGGGAGGCAGCAGUGAGGAAUUUUGCGCAAUGGGGGAAACCCUGACGCAGCAACGCCGCGUGAGUGAUGAAGGCUUUCGGGUCGUAAAGCUCUGUCAAGUGGGAAGAACCUGCUUCGUGCCAAUACCACGAGGCACUGACGGUACCACUGAAGGAAGCACCGGCUAACUCCGUGCCAGCAGCCGCGGUAAUACGGGGGGUGCUAGCGUUAUUCGGAAUCAUUGGGCGUAAAGGGCGCGUAGGCGGUCGCUUAAGUCAGAUGUGAAAGCCCUCGGCUUAACCGAGGAAGUGCAUUUGAUACUAGGCGACUUGAGUAUGGGAGAGGGAAGCGGAAUUCCUGGUGUAGCGGUGAAAUGCGUAGAUAUCAGGAGGAACACCGGUGGCGAAGGCGGCUUCCUGGACCAAUACUGACGCUGAGGCGCGAAAGGCGUGGGGAGCAAACAGGAUU
rnacentral:rRNA from 1 species